rnacentral:rRNA from 1 species
ACGGGAGGCAGCAGUGGGGAAUAUUGCACAAUGGGGGAAACCCUGAUGCAGCAACGCCGCGUGAAGGAAGACGGUCUUCGGAUUGUAAACUUCUGUUUUUAGUGAAGAUAAUGACGGUACUUUAGGAGCAAGCUACGGCUAACUACGUGCCAGCAGCCGCGGUAAUACGUAGGUGGCAAGCGUUGUCCGGAAUUACUGGGUGUAAAGGGAGCGCAGGCGGGAAAGCAAGUUGGAUGUGAAAUCUCGGGGCUUAACCCCGGAACUGCAUCCAAAACUGAAGUUCUUGAGUGAAGUAGAGGUAGGCGGAAUUCCUGGUGUAGCGGUGAAAUGCGUAGAUAUUAGGAGGAACACCGGUGGCGAAGGCGGCCUACUGGGCUUUAACUGACGCUGAGGCUCGAAAGUGUGGGGAGCAAACAGGAUUAGAUACCCUGGUA